AUCCAGAUGACGAGUCACAAAUAGGACGAAAUACAUAUCCUGGAU
rnacentral:hammerhead_ribozyme from 1 species